rnacentral:rRNA from 1 species
GACGAAGGGGGCUAGCGUUGUUCGGAAUUACUGGGCGUAAAGCGCGUGUAGGCGGUUGUUCAAGUCAGGUGUGAAAGCCUUGAGCUCAACUCAAGAAAUGCACUUGAUACUGGAUGACUAGAGGACCGGAGAGGAUAGUGGAAUUCCCAGUGUAGUGGUGAAAUACGUAGAGAUUGGGAAGAACACCAGUGGCGAAGGCGGCUCACUGGUCCGGUACUGACGCUGAGGUGCGAAAGCGUGGGGAGCAAACAGG